AAGCUCGUAUGAAUUUCGGGAUCAAUAUGUUGGUCAUGCCUUCGGUAUGUACUGGCAUAUUGAUCUCUACCUUCUGACGAACCAUGAUGUCAUUAAUUUGGUGUCAUGGGAAAUCAGGACUGUUACUUUGAAAAAAUUAGAGUGUUUAAAGCAGGCACACGCUUGAAUACAUUAGCAUGGAAUAAUGAAAUAGGACGUUUGAUCCUAUUUUGUUGGUUUCUAGGGUCGACGUA
rnacentral:rRNA from 1 species